UCUCACAGCGGAAAGGGGGCGUUUCUAGUCGUGCCCCCAUGUGUACUAUGGCCUACGGUGUCCCAAAGGCCGCUUUUAUUAUCCGUAAAGUUUGUUUCACAGAAACCCUGGUAACCCUCACCGAAACAGACGCAUGUAUGAAUUUGCGCCGUCAUCACAAUAUCGUGCUGUGCUGAGUGGUGCCGAAAUUCUUCACGCCACACCGGACAUAAAAUUCUUUCGGAUCCCGGCGGACCAAAGAUCACGCGCCUGGCUACAGUAUGCGAGAAGGAGGACCUGGCUCAUUUACCACCUCGUCAGAUCUACAGCAGCUACCGGCCCAUUUCACCAGCAGAGACUACGCGGAGCAGAGACUACGCGGACCCUGGACAGACAAGGCUUCUAAGAUGUGCCGUGCCAACAGUUCCCAUCUUUUGCGAAGGGCAGAGACGUCGAAAUGUCCAAGUGGGAGUACUGUAAUGUGAACAUACAACUAUAGUAUGACAUAAAGGCGGAGGAGUUGGACCGUA